rnacentral:snRNA from 1 species
AUCGCUUCUCGGCCUUUUGGCUAAGAUCAAGUGUAGUAUCUGUUCUUAUCAGUUUAAUAUCUGAUACGUCCUCUAUCCGAGGACAAUAUAUUAAAUGGAUUUUUGGAGUCAGGGAGAUGGAAUAGGAGCUUGCUCCGUCCACUCCACGCAUCGACCUGGUAUUGCAGUACCUCCAGGAACGGUGCACCCCCU